UACGUAGGGUGCAAGCGUUAAUCGGAAUUACUGGGCGUAAAGCGUGCGCAGGCGGUGAUGUAAGACAGAUGUGAAAUCCCCGGGCUCAACCUGGGAAUUGCAUUCGAGACUGCAUGGCUAGGAUGCGGAAGAGGGAAGCGGAAUUUCCGGUGUAGCGGUGAAAUGCGUAGAUAUCGGAAGGAACACCAGUGGCGAAAGCGGCUUCCUGGUCCAGCAUCGACGUUCAGGCACGAAAGCGUGGGGAGCAAACAGG
rnacentral:rRNA from 1 species